UUUGAUUUGUUUAGCAAUGUUAUGUUUAAACAAGAUUUUAAGCAUGUUUUUAUGACACUGCUAUGUUUGUUAAAAAUACUGCUAUAGGUACAAUUGUGUUGCUUUUAUAUGUAGAUGAUAUGAUUAUUACAGGUAACGAUGCCAACAGAAUUAUGCAGGUAAAGGCUUUCCUUAAGAAUGAAUUUGAAAUGACUGAUUUGGGUAAACUAACAUAUUUCCUUGAUGUUGAAGUUGCUUAUAGUAGGAGAGGAUACUUCCUCUCACAAAUGAAGUUUGCCAAUAACAUUAUAAGCAGAUCAGGAAUCACUGAUGACAAGAUAGUGGACACUCCUGAAGCUUUAGGAGUAAAGAUGAAGAUUGAUGAUGGAGAAAUUUUAGAAAAUCCCACCCCCUUUCGUCAAUUGGUGGGCGCUCUCACAUAUUUAUCCAUCACAAGCCUGACAUAUCACAUGUUGUACAUGUCAUAAGUCAGUUUCAACAAAGACCCACUUCUGUACACAUGGGGGCUGCAUUGAGGAUUGUUCGAUAUGUCAAACACACUAUCACGAAGGGACUUUUUCUAUCCUCCUCAUCAAACUUGAAUAUGAUUGCCUAUACUGACGCUGAUUGGGGUGGAGAUCCUAAUAAUAGGCAUUCUAUCGCUGGUUUUUGUGUUUUUCUAGGUGACUCUCAUUUCUUGGAGAUGCAAAAAACAACAAAAAGUCUCUCUAUCUUCAACCGAAGCUGAGUAUCGUGCCAUGGCUACCACCAUGAUGGAGAUUGUAUGGUUGAAAAGCUUAUUGAAGGACAUUGGAAUUGACCUCAAUGAAGCCACCAAGUCUGCUGCGACAAUUAAAGUGUCAUCUACAUUGCUAUCAAUCAUACUUUUCAUGAAAGGACAAAACAUAUUGAAAUGGAUUGUCACUAUGUGAGAGAGGAAUAUCUUAGCAGAACAAUUGAUCUAUCUUUUGUCCCUUCUGAAUAUCAACUUGGAGAUUUCUUCACCAAACCACUUGCUUCCGCAAGAUUUCAGUUUCUUCUUGGCAAACUUUCGGUGAUUACACCGUAAGUUUGAGGGGGGGUGUUAGAAUUUAUAAUGUAUAUGCUCCAUGUUCCCUGGGAGAGGUCUGCAGUUUGGCUUCAACCGAGUCACGUGGAAUACCAGAUGGACUUGGGCAGCUGGUGGCGAAGCUAUACAAUAAGCAGCUUUCCCAACACACUGAAGCACUUGGAAACAAUAUUGGACGAGGAAGAGGUAUAAAAUUGGUAGCUAUCCUACAUCCAGUGGUCAGCCAUUAUCAAGAUUCUUCUACUUUCAGUGAGGGCAAACUUAUCCAAGUCCUUCUAGCCAGUUUAGGUUAACCUUCUCAAGCUUAAUAUUCUUGUCAUGUGCUGGCCUAAUCUUAACAAGGGAGGAAGAGAAGGAAGGAAUGCCCUAACCAGGGAUGAGCAAGGGACACAUAAACUCCCAGUUCGAUGGAGUAAGGGUAAUUGUCCAGGUCUUGUGGAAUAAAGAGCCAUCCUACUACAAUAGGCAGGUUAGGUUCUAUCAUUGCUGUGGACUGUCAGUGAGGAGGCUGUAGAAUCUUUUUUUUCUCUGCUAGAAGUGUGGGUUUGAACAUAAGCAUGUAAUGAAAAGAAAAUGACAAAAAUCCUAAUCAUAGAUACUUGAAAAGCAUUACUCCAUAUGAUUGCAAUGUAGGAAAAUUUGGAAGGCGCAUGGGUACACCUUCAUAUGGAAUGCAACUACAUUCGUAUUGGUUUC